rnacentral:rRNA from 1 species
GAUGAACGCUGGCGGCGUGCCUAAUACAUGCAAGUCGAGCGAACAGAUGAGGCGCUUGCUCCUCUGACGUUAGCGGCGGACGGGUGAGUAACACGUGGAUAACCUACCUAUAAGACUGGGAUAACUUCGGGAAACCGGAGCUAAUCCCGGAUAAUAUAUUGAACCGCAUGGUUGGAUAGUGAAAGACGGUUUUGCUGUCACUUAUAGAUGGAUCUGCGCCGCAUUAGCUAGUUGGUAAGGUAACGGCUUACCAAGGCAACGAUGCGUAGCCGACGUGUGAGGGUGAUAGGCCACCUUGGAACGUGGACGCCGUCCAUACGCCUACGGGAGGGAGCAGUAGGGAACGUUCCGCAAUGGGCGAGAGCCUUGCGGAGCGAGGCCGCGUGAGUUAUGAAGGUCUUCGGAUCGUAAAACUCUGUUAUUAGUGAAGAACAAAUUUGUAAGGUACUAUGCACGUCUUGACGGUACCUAAUCAGAAAGCCACGGCUAACUACGUG